UAUUAUUUUUAUUAACUGCUUGUUUUUAUUUUUUUCAGGACACGAAAGACCCGGUUCAACAUUCCAACGAACACAUCUCGUGGUGCUUUAUUUCUUAUCCUAUCGAGUGAUCCAUUGGAGACGGAAGACACAGACUCACCUAGCGGGAACUUCUCGGUGGCGCCGGAAGCGGACGUAGGAUCCAGAGCACAGAGGGACACCCAAAAAACCACCGAACAAAAGAGGGAAAUCGCACCCGGCACUGAUAAGCGCGAGCCCGGAGCGGACGCCGGGAGCAACGCGGGAAGCAGCAUCGCGCAACGAAGGAGUCAACGCCGCCACUGAGCAUCGACCACGCCACGGUCGUUGGACCAAGGAGGCUGGGCGCGUCGACCGGCGGCGAGGGGGAGGCCGGGGUGCCGCGUCGCCGUGACGUCACGGGGCGCAUGCCGCGCUACGUCUGCCCCCCCCCUCCGCGGCGGCCGAGAGUUAACUCGUUAUCACCUCGGUUUUUGCCAUGCUAAUUAAGGGGGCCACUGAUGCAACGGGGGAGGAGGGUUGCUGUUGGAAAGGUCGAUCGGGUGCGAUUGGCGUUUAGGAUUGGUGCGAUGGGGUUGUUAUACGAGGGACUUUUAUUGCCCAUGGAUAAGCUGAGUUCACAGAGGAAUCUUUUAGCCACAUAUUUAUAUAUAAGUAUCUUUAAAGGGAAACAUAAAGGGGGGCUUCUCACAGAAUACAAAUGUAAGCAAUGUAAAAUAUAAUAGGCUUCGCUUAGUAUGUAAAAUAGGCCUUCGGGCUAUCCUCCUGUCUCGGAUAGUUCCUCUUUGUAAAAUCAAAUAAAUUCUUUCUUCAACC